rnacentral:rRNA from 1 species
GACGAACGCUGGCGGCGUGCUUAACACAUGCAAGUCGAGCGGAGCGGCGAACGGGUGAGUAACGCGUGAGUAACUGCCCCCCUCUCUGGGAUAACAGUUGGAAACGGCUGCUAAUACCGGAUAGUGGGGGAUGACUCGCGUCCUAUCAGCUUGUUUGUGGGGUAGUUGCCUACCAAGGCGACGACGGGUAGCCGGCCUGGGAGGGAGACCGGCCGCAUGGGGCUAAGAGACGGACCAUACUCCGACGGGAGGCAGUGGUGGGGAAUAUUGCACAAUUGGGGAAACGCUGAUGCAGCAACGCCGCGUGCGGGAUGACGGCCAUCGGGUUGUAAACCGCUUUCAGCCAUGACGCGGUAGUGGCAGAAGAAGCACCGGCUAACUACGUGCCAGCAGCCGCGGUAAUAC